CACGUAGUUAGCCGUGGCUUAUUCAAGAGGUACCGUCUUCUGCUCUUCCCUCUUAAAAGAAGUUUACAACCCGAAAGCCUUCUUCCUUCACGCGGCGUUGCUGGGUCAGGCUUGCGCCCAUUGCCCAGUAUUCCCCACUGCUGCCUCCCGUAGGAGUCUGGGCCGUAUCUCAGUCCCAAUGUGGCCGGUCAACCUCUCAGUCCGGCUACUGAUCGUCGCCUAGGUGGGCCGUUACCCCGCUACUAGCUAAUCAGACGCGAGGCCAUCUUCCAGCGAUAAAUCUUUGGUGUCUCGAUGAUGCCAUCGAAACACAUCAUGCGGUAUUAGCUAGUCGUUUCCAACUGUUCGUCCCCUCUGGAAGCAGGUUCCUCACGUCGUUACUCACCACGUCCGCCACUAAGCUAACUUCCCUUCCAUUGUACCGAAAACUUCUUUACAGGGGUGCUCCGUUCGACUUGCAUGUGUUAAGCACGCCGCCAGCGUUCGUCC
rnacentral:rRNA from 1 species